GGGAUGUGAUGAGUGGUAAAGACUUGCAUUUAAUAUGCAAGAGGGGUGCCCGCCCCAGUCUUGUUACGACUGGGGGCACUCUUUCUUAAUCUAAUCUGAUCCU
rnacentral:snoRNA from 1 species